GACGAACGCUGGCGGCGUGCUUAACACAUGCAAGUCGAACGGAAAGGCCCUGCUUUUGUGGGGUGCUCGAGUGGCGAACGGGUGAGUAACACGUGAGUAACCUGCCCUUGACUUUGGGAUAACUUCAGGAAACUGGGGCUAAUACCGGAUAGGAGCUCCUGCUGCAUGGUGGGGGUUGGAAAGUUUCGGCGGUUGGGGAUGGACUCGCGGCUUAUCAGCUUGUUGGUGGGGUAGUGGCUUACCAAGGCUUUGACGGGUAGCCGGCCUGAGAGGGUGACCGGCCACAUUGGGACUGGGAUACGGCCCAGACUCCUACGGGAGGCAGCAGUGGGGAAUAUUGCAGAAUGGGCGGAAGCCUGAUGCAGCAACGCCGCGUGCGGGAUGACGGCCUUCGGGUUGUAAACCGCUUUCGCCUGUGACGAAGCGUGAGCGACGGUAAUGGGUAAAGAAGCACCGGCUAACUACGUG
rnacentral:rRNA from 1 species